rnacentral:lncRNA from 1 species
CAGAGAGACAUUUGAGUUAUUUGACUAUUGGUGCUGAAGCAGGUUUCACCUGUGACCUUAAGUCUUUUGAGGACAUUUGUGUUUGCCUCCCUCAGAAGAGUAACUAGAUAUGCACAUGAAAACCCCACAUGCAAAGUCUACAAAAUGUGCACACAGGCUUCAGCAGUGGGACUGAGAUACUGAAUGAAGAUCUACUCAUCUUGGCCAAGAAACAAAAAGGGCUGUCAUCCAGUGGCUCUCAGACUAAGGUCAGAACCCCUUACAAUUGCUUGUGCAACCUCACAGGAAAUUCAAAGUGCAGAGCCGAUGUAAAUUUUCAAUUAAAAAGCAACAACAACUACUUGUCUUGUGCCUAAAUAUUAC